GGAAAAAUGGGGAGACCCAGACUGAGGUCCCACGCACACAUAAAAGGAAGGCUGCUUCCAAGAAAAAUGUGGAGGCUCAGACAGAGGUCCCUCGACAACAUGCUAGUAAUACACAGGUGUGACUGGGAAUGAAGGUGCUCCAGCUUCCCCUCUGAGUUCCAGGACUGAAACUCCGGCAGAUCACAUGGAUAUGUCAUGGCUUUUUAGUUCCUUUGAGAGCUGCCAGCUCAAAGGCCAAAUGUCGGCCAGGUCUGUCUGCAGGUGUGAGAGCGUAGUCCUGUGCGUGUAUGCCCUUUCCUUGCACGAUCCACUGGUAUGCUCCACUAUUCAGUGAUGCCGUUGUGCACGGAAACUUUUCAUGGGUCUUUGGUUGCAGAAGUGCCCCCAGGGAGGGCCUUGCUGGUUUCUCGGCUCCUUCCUGCGAUGGAGACCAGUUGGAAUCCCAUGGGUCCGCAAAGAGGAAACAGAGGAAAGGAUACACCUAGAAGAGGGAAGUACUACUGGUGGUCAUCCCGUGUCCUAAAGGAACCUGUGAAGAAAAUGGAGAAGGCAGCGCAUGGUGGGACUAAAGGGACUGACCAAGAGACUGUGCAGAAGGAGCCAUUGCAGGAAAGCAGCAGUGACACACGGCCAGUCUCUGAUAGAAAAACACAGGCAGAACAAGCAGCUGGAUUGCCAGGGGUGGAUGUUGGGAAAAUCACAACGGCCGCUGUUGGCAAAGAGCUGCGAAAACACCACAUCCCAGUGAUUGCUGUGGUCUCCGCUGUGCUGCUGUCUGUGCUGAUGCUGGCCUGUGUUCCUAUGCUGUGGAUGUGGAAAAAAUAUCUGUGAGUUAGCUUUUCCCCUAGACACUGUAUCGCUGCAUUUGGCUAUGAAGCAUUUGUGGUGACAGGAUCCUUGAUGGCCAAAUCAGCUGCUGGCAGUACACCGCCAGGAUUUAUGUUGCAAGGCCUUUUAAGUGUUCCCUCGAUUCCUAUCAGUGAGUAGUGCUUUCUGAAACUCAUUCCCACAGGGCACGCAAGACAGAGCGGACAGCUGCAAGACAAGCUGACUGGGAGAGAGAUCAAAACAGAGAUGAAGGCAGAGCGGAGCUGGGGGAGGCUGCAAAGGAGGAUGUCCUCGACCAAGGAAAAAUCAUCUCCAGGGCAUUCUCCUGGUCCUUUGAAGCAGAAUUUGCUGACCUGUGCAACAGAAUCAGAGCAGACCCCUCCCUUCAGCCCACGCAUCCCAGCAGCUCUCCUACUGUCAACGUCUCUUCCCUCAGUAGCUGCAGCUCUCAGGAUACCCCUGAGCCAUCCAGUGCCCCUGUUACCGGUGCCAAGAAGGCUCGGGUUCAUUGAAAGGUCCCACUUUGUGAUCAAUAAAGACAUUCCAUUCAAAAGCUGCUGCUGUGACCAUUUCCAUUGAGUUAUAGGGCAUAGGGCUGGGGCCAGCACUUGGUGCAAGGGAAGCAGUCGGAGAGCUGCAUGCCAGGGAG
rnacentral:lncRNA from 1 species